rnacentral:other from 1 species
GAACCCCUGGAACGCUCGUGAUUCCCAUCCCAGUGCUGACCGAACAAGCUUGCAAUUAGGGAUCCGGUUGAUGUUCCCCAUGUGCAUGCCCGACACCGAUCGGGAGUCCUUAAGGGAACACACUGGAGCCCGCCCUGGGAAACCGGGUUCCACAUUGGUACGGAACACGGCCUUUCUGGGGGCUCU